rnacentral:rRNA from 1 species
GACGAACGCUGGCGGCGUGCUUAACACAUGCAAGUCGAACGCUGAAGCUCAGCUUGCUGGGUGGAUGAGUGGCGAACGGGUGAGUAACACGUGAGUAACCUGCCCUCUUCUUUGGGAUAACGCCCGGAAACGGGUGCUAAUACUGGAUAUUCACUGAUUCUCGCCUGGGGGUUGGUGGAAAGGAUUUUUCUGGUGGGGGAUGGGCUCGCGGCCUCUCAGCUUGUUGGUGGGGUGAUGGCCUACCAAGGCUUUGACGGGUAGCCGGCCUGAGAGGGUGACCGGUCACAUUGGGACGGGGAUACGGCCCAGACUCCUACGGGGGGCAGCAGUGGGGAAUAUUGCACAAUGGGCGAAAGCCUGAUGCCGCGACGCCGCGGGAGGGAUGGGGGCCUUCGGGUUGUAAACCUCUUUCGCUCAUGGUCAAGCCGCAGCUUUGGGUUGUGGUGAGGGUAGUGGGGAAAGAAGCGCCGGCUAACUACGU